GUCCUUGCAGGUUUCCGUUUCCAGCACCUUUGGGGGAGAUGGGAAGAAAGUUUAUAACCCCCACCUCCAACCUCGGACCAUCUGGACUCUGUUCUACAGGAACAAAGAAUGGAGAGCCAGAGAUCCCUGGCUUCAGGUUCUCACCAUGAAGAUGACAGAAGAGCAGGAGACAAGAGCUCUUGUAAAUCAUAUCUGGAGGAGGCUAAGAGCAUGAUGUAGAGUUUUGCAUUUGCCAAUCUAAUGACAAGCAGAAUUCAGCUGAAUUUCUAGGCCUGUUAGAAAAAGAUGAAUGGUUACAAGAAGGAUGGGGAUUUUCUGAGAAAUAUAACUGCUUAAUCUCAAUGCCAAUGAUGCAGUAUCUGACAAAAUUGGGAACCUUACUUGGAAAUCUAAAGGAAAACAAUGUCAAUGGGUUUUUUCAUUAUAAAAAUCUUCUAGCACCUACCCUUGGUGUAAAAGGAAUUUUUCAGUUAGUGUGUAACCCUAUUGAUUAUAAAGGCAUUGAGAAACUUAAAUAAAAGGCUUCUAGUAGAUUGUA